GAUGAACGCUGGCGGCGUGCUUAACACAUGCAAGUCGAACGAUGAAGCUCAGCUUGUUGGGUGGAUUAGUGGCGAACGGGUGAGUAACACGUGAGUAACCUGCCCUUAACUCUGGGAUAAGCCUGGGAAACUAGGUCUAAUACCGGAUAGGAGCGCCUACCGCAUGGUGGGUGUUGGAAAGAUUUAUCGGUUUUGGAUGGACUCGCGGCCUAUCAGCUUGUUGGUGAGGUAAUGGCUCACCAAGGCGACGACGGGUAGCCGGCCUGAGAGGGUGACCGGCCACACUGGGACUGAGACACGGCCCAGACUCCUACGGGAGGCAGCAGUGGGGAAUAUUGCACAAUGGGCGAAAGCCUGAUGCAGCGACGCCGCGUGAGGGAUGACGGCCUUCGGGUUGUAAACCUCUUUCAGUAGGGAAGAAGCGAAAGUGACGGUACCUGCAGAAGAAGCACCGGCUAACUACGUG
rnacentral:rRNA from 1 species